ACAUUCUCGUAAUUUAGGUACCGAAAACAUUUCCAACAGAAUCCGUAAAGUUUUUUUGAAGAUUGUGUUGCCGGAAAAUCUUAUGACGACAAUAAUUGUGGAUCUUGGGUUGAAAAGAUUAGAUGAAACUGGUUCCAAAAAGACGGAAAUGUUAUGCAAUAGUUCCAACUUAGUAAACAAUGCCAGCAAACAGAUUCCAGUAUGAUUGAAGAUACGACGACGAUUUUCCGGCUGUUGUUAUAUGAUUUAUUUCGGAUGUGUUCCUGGACCCGGGUAUUUAACGGUUCAUUACUGGUGUAGGUGUUGAGCGAAAUACUUUUAUUCAUCAUUCGUUACAACCGGGCAUUAUACACAGGUCGUGGUGAUAAUGAUGGUCCAUUGCGUACACGAAAUAAGGUUGGGUUCGUUCCGAGAGGAUCAUGAAUUGGAACAACUCGCGAAACAAAAAAAAGCAAUUGUUAGAAUACCGUUCAACCAUUUUACCGACUUAAUAACAUUUUUGUAUGCAA